rnacentral:rRNA from 1 species
AGGACGAACGCUGGCGGCGCGCUUAAUACAUGCAAGUCGAGCGAGAACCAGGGCUUCGGCUCUGGGGACAGCGGCGAACGGGUGAGUAACACGUGGGUAAUCAACCCCCGACACCGGGAUAGCCCAGGGAAACUUGGAUUAAUACCGGAUGCUCCGUCUGGCUUUAGGGCCGGCCGGAAAAGGGUAGCUUCGGCCUCCGGUCGGGGACGAGCCCGCGGCGGAUUAGCUUGUUGGUGAGGUAAAGGCUCACCAAGGCGACAAUCCGUAGCUGGUCUGAGAGGACGAUCAGCCACACUGGGACUGAGACACGGCCCAGACUCCUACGGGAGGCAGCAGUAGGGAAUCUUGCGCAAUGGGCGAAAGCCUGACGCAGCGACGCCGCGUGAGGGAAGAAGGCCUUCGGGUUGUAACCUCUUCAGGAGGGACGAAGCCACUCGGGUUAAUAGCCUAGAGGGUGACGGUACCUCCGAGAAGAAGCCCGGCUAACUACGUGCCAGCACCGCGGU